rnacentral:rRNA from 1 species
ACGAACGCUGGCGGCAUGCCUAACACAUGCAAGUCGAACGGGAUCCAGGCUUCGGUCUGGUGAGAGUGGCGGACGGGUGAGUAACACGUGGGAACCUGCCUUUUGGUUCGGGAUAACCGCGGGAAACUGCGGCUAAUACCGGAUACUCCCGCGAGGGGAAAGAUUUAUCGCCAGAAGAGGGGCCCGCGUCCGAUUAGGUAGUUGGUGAGGUAAUGGCUCACCAAGCCGACGAUCGGUAGCUGGUCUGAGAGGAUGAUCAGCCACACUGGGACUGAGAUACGGCCCAGUCUCCUACGGGAGGCAGCAGUGGGGAAUCUUGCGCAAUGGGCGAAAGCCUGACGCAGCCAUGCCGCGUGUAUGAUGAAGGUCUUAGGAUUGUAAAAUACUUUCACCGGUGAAGAUAAUGACUGUAGCCGGAGAAGAAGCCCCGGCUAACUUCGU